GGAUGUGAGGGUGAUCUGGCUGUGACAUCUGUCGCCUUAUUGAUUACCAGGGUUGAUUUGGUUGAUCUGGCUGGCUAGGUGGGUGUCUUCUUCCUUUCUCAUUGCUCCAUGUGUGUCCCUCCUGAAACUUUGAUCGAGGAGGAUGGCCUUCCCUGAAUAGGGAGGAUGGGUCUUCAGUCAAGGGUGUACAAGUAGCUGUGCUCCUCUGCUAGAACCUCCAAACAGAGAGACCAAAUUGCUUGAAGAACAUCAGACUAGGUUUGAGGAGAUCUAAAUUCUUAUCCUCACUAUGUACCAGAUGUGUGAUGAUGGAAAGU
ensembl:misc_RNA 7SK 7SK RNA